UAGUAAUUUAAGAAACCAUGGGUUGGAGCAAAAUCUGGUUCAGUUCCUUAUGAGUUUCUUAAGUCUGAUGUGGCAGUACAGGCCCACAGGAAUAGUGCAGAAUAGUGCUGAAUAGUGUGUUAAGAAACCAGAUAAGUAACCAAUGGUCGGAGUUGCUCUUAUAGAAAAUAGAGCACUACAGUUGAGUGAAGCGAUGGCACGAGAACCCCACGUUUCUUUUUUCAAUCUACUCUGCUCUUCUUUUUUCUUUACAGUACUUAACCAGUUGUACAGAUAGGUUGGAUUUUAUGUGUGUGUGGUAAGUGGCUCUUUCAGUUUGAGGAAGAGAGAGAAAGAGUGUGUCUGUGAGAAAGGAGAAGGUUGAUGGAAGAAAGAAAAACACUCUAGUUUUCUGCUUCUCUAUAGUAACUUGCAAAAGUGUUUCCUUACUGGGAAAAGAAAAAGAUGAUCUUUGCUUACCUUUGUUUUGAUUUCUUUUGGAAACAGUGCUUUACCAGAUUUGUAUAUUAGAUCUUCAAUCGCUUUCCUUUCUCUGACUCUAAUGAAGACAGUGACACUAGCUUCUAUCCUCUCUCUCUCUCUGCUAUUUCUUUAACAUUUCAUCUCUUCACUGAUUUCUGCUUCUGACCCUUCAACUCUCUUCCUUUCCUUUUAAUUUCAUAAUUUUUUUGCACUAGUUUCUUCUUUGAUUUAACAUAUUUACUCAGCCUUGUGAUGCUCUUAUGCAUAUUUUUCCUUACCCAUUUGGUUCUAUUUCUUUCAGCUAUUUGCUCUUGUUUUGAACUUUGUAGUUGAAGCUUCGGAUUCAUGUUUGGGCUUAUGAGAAUGGUAAAGCUGUAAGUCUAAGAUGUUAAUUUGACUCAAGUGCUGCUUUUUUCAUUAUACCAAAUAAUUAAGUUGAUCCUUUAAUUUUGCUCCUUAACAAUUUUACAUGGCACAUGCUUCUAAUUGGAGAAAGUAUCUCUUGUUUAUAGUAUAAGGUGAUGUUAUGACUUAUGAUGUAUUCUCUUUUGUUGAAGGAAAAUGUCUUUGAGAAAAUCUUAACAUGUCUUAUUUCCAAUUUUUGUUUUCUUUGGUUUGGUAGUUUUAAGACUUAGGGUUAGGGUUCUUUAAUUAUUUGAAUACCUUUCAAAUCAAUGAAAAACCAAUUACUUUCAUUGGCAUAAUAUUUCAGAGUGCCGUGAACUUCUAAUUCCUAAUUUAUCAACAUAUUUGAAAUGGGUAGGAUUUGAAUUGUGUGCAUAAUUAGUUCCUAAUUUUUUGAAUAUCGUCUCAUUUUGAUUUUCUUAUGUUAGAUCUGUUACAAUAUUCAUUCGUAUUCCUGUUUUCAUAUUAGUUCCUUUUCAAAUGCAAUUAUUUUUCUGGGCUUGGUUUAUAUUUGAAGAUGUUACAUUAGGAAUUAGUUGAGGGGAGCUUCCUUCAGUCCACUCAUGGAUGGGUAAGGGGUUAGAAUUAGCUGCUGACUCAUUCAUUCAAACACAAUAGAUCAGGCAACAUGGUAUGCUGUUGUGAAUGUGUGAAUGAUGCGGGAGGUAAAUUUCUUCCUAUUCUUGUCUUUGCUUGGACUGAAGGGAGCUCCCUUUUAUAUUGUUUACAAUAUUAUCUUCUUAUCUUUCACUUGGUUACUCUUUUUUCAUACAUUCAUUCUGAUUUUUUUUUGGUAAAUAUGCCUUCAUUUUAUAACAUGUUUGAAUCAUUAUCUAUUUCUUGAUCAAAUUCAAUUCUGAUAUUCAUAAGCUGCUUACAGAAGCUUGUUUCCAUAAUCGGUUCUGGCUUUAGAAAUUACAGAAGAAUAUCUAAACAUGCCCUUGGUGAAUUCUCUCUUUCAUCAUGCUACCAGGUACAGUGUUUUCACCUGGAAAACACAUCAAAUAGAAGCUCAAGGAAGCAACCUUGGAUUUUCCCUAAGUACUUGUGUGAUGCACUGAUGCUUGUUCUUUGAGUAACGUUGUUGUUGUUGUUGUAGUAGUUAUUGCAUAGUAAAGUGAUCAAUCUUCUGGACUCUGACCACUUUUGCAGUGACUAGAAUUGAAUAUUAAGCCGCGCAACAGGUACUGGAAACUCUGUCUAACUAUGCAUGCUAGCUAGGCUCUGCCUUUAAUUAGAUGUUGGAACUUGGAGCUAUAACGUUCCACUUUAAUUUGUUUGACAUUCCUGACGUCUAUAUUAUUACUCCAUAAAUAAUCAUCACAUAUAUAAUUUCCUCUUUCCAAUACAGCUUUUACAUUCAACUUAAUUAGUGUGUGUUUAGACUUCCGUUGAAUUUAACUUUAUCAUAAUUUCCCAUUCAUGUUAAAUUUAGUGAUAAUGACAGUUUGAAAAAGGGUGGUUGAGACGAUGGCAAUGGUGGAGCGUGGAGGGUGUGGUUGCAGCAACGGUGAUAGAGGAGGUGGAGUGAUAUCACAUGUUAUAGAAACUAAAAAAUAAAAUCACAAAACCAUACUUUUUACUUUUAAAAAUUAGGCAAAAAAACAUUUUAAAAUUGAGUAAAACUAUAUCAGCUUUACUUUUGUCGAGCACAUUUUAUUUUUGAAUUUAUAUUUGAAAACUAAAAAUCAGAAAUUGACAUACUCGUCCCGGACGGCCUAAGCAAUAGUAAAUAUUACUUUUGAAGAUUGUGAGUUUCAAAAAAAAAUUUGUUGACAUAUUAUAUUUUCCUUGGAAAGAUCAUAUAUUUGUUGAUUAUAUUAUUUAAUUCAUGAUGAUAAAUUACGGUAAAGCGGUUUCCUUUUUUAGUUUUUUUCUAUGGACUUCCAUAAGUGCUAGAUAAUAUUUUAUUAAGUCUGCAUGUGUCUCACUGAACUAAAACUAGCCUAGUUACUUAAUUAGGAGUUCUUAAUGCAAGUACAGUUGAACUGGAUCUAUCACAUUUAUUACCAAUUUGUUUAAUUCUAGAUAUUUUGAUAAAAGGCAUGUGAUUGUACUAAAUCAUAAAGUUCCCUUAAAUUAGAAUUUGAUGUACCCUUUUGCCUAUUAAAAUUUGCCAUGUUCUAAUUAUAAUGUUCCAUGUUGAUGUCAUUCAAAUGCAGGACCACUAAUCCUUCAUGUGUUUCAAGGUAUCUGUCAUUUUCAAUUUUCUCAUGCCCUGCAUGGCACGUGUUAAAACCCCAUUUGUCAAAUCAAGUUCUUGGAAGAAGUUAUGCUGUGAAUUAAAAAAAUCAUCUCUUUUAAUUUGAGGUUUAAUUAAUGCAAAAAUAACAAAACAAGUACAGUUUUUAUGUGUAUAUAUAUUUGAACUCUGCAGUUCCUGAUGCUAGCUCAUGAAUGAAUGGUGGUCCUUGGUCCACUCCAAAGUGAAUCUGAUUUUGCAUGCUAAUUAUUUAUAUGGCACUUAAUUUUCUCCACA